ACUCCUACGGGAGGCAGCAGUGGGGAAUAUUGGACAAUGGGCGCAAGCCUGAUCCAGCCAUGCCGCGUGAGUGAUGAAGGCCCUAGGGUUGUAAAGCUCUUUCACCGGUGAAGAUAAUGACGGUAACCGGAGAAGAAGCCCCGGCUAACUUCGUGCCAGCAGCCGCGGUAAUACGAAGGGGGCUAGCGUUGUUCGGAUUUACUGGGCGUAAAGCGCACGUAGGCGGACUAUUAAGUCAGGGGUGAAAUCCCGGGGCUCAACCCCGAAACUGCCUUUGAUACUGGUAGUCUUGAGUUCGAGAGAGGUGAGUUGAAUUCCGAGUGUAGAGGUGAAAUUCGUAGAUAUUCGGAGGAACACCAGUGGCGAAGGCGGCUCACUGGCUCGAUACUGACGCUGAGGUGCGAAAGCGUGGGGAGCAAACAGGAUUAGAAACCCUGGUAGUCCCA
rnacentral:rRNA from 1 species